rnacentral:tRNA from 1 species
GCCUUCGUUGUGUAACGAUAGUACACUCGGCUCGUAUUCGAGAGGUCCAGGUUCGAUUCCCGGCGAAGGCA